AUUUCGAGACUUUUGUUUUUUCUGUCUUUUCACUUCAAGUCUCAAGGUAGUCUCAUCUCAUUGGAUAAGGGUGUACCACUUAAUGAGGUGAUGGCUCCCCAUUUUAGGAUCACAUCAUGUAGAACAGUUCGUUAUUAGUCACUAUUAUUUCUCUUUCCUUCGGACUUAUCCGAUUUGGGAUCCGUUCUUAAUUCACCGACCUCAAGACCCUAAUUCCAUGGAUCAGCAUUAAAAUUAGCUAUAUUCAUAUACGUAUACAACAGAGGAAUGGUAGGAAAAGCCUAACAACUGUGCAGGGAUUAAAGAAAUAAUUCAGCUAUAAUAAAAUACUCAAGGACUUGAAGAAAGAGUUUCACUACAAUGCCAGAACUAGGCCAAGUUUGUAUUGCUUUUGAACAAUUCUGGAUGAAGUAUUUUGUGUCCCUGUUCCUCUUGUUUUGUUGCAUUUCGAUUUUCGCAUUCAAACAUGACUUUCUUCUAAAGGUUAUUCAACUUCAAGGCGAUCAGCAGAAGAAUGCAUCUACCUUUUCUUGUUCAGGAUUUCUCUAGCGUUCAUGGACUUGCAAAAUAAUGGCAUUUGGGAUUUGAAUGUUUUCUUCCAGAUUGUUUUGUGCUUAUAUUCCACAUUUGUGUAUGUAACGAAUCGAUUAUAUGGUAAGUAGGCUUUGAGUUGGCGGUAAAUAAAGAUAGCCCUUUUAUUA